CAGCAGCCGCGGGAAUACGAAGGGGGCUAGCGUUGUUCGGAAUUACUGGGCGUAAAGCGCACGUAGGCGGACAUUUAAGUCAGGGGUUAAAUCCCGGUGCUCAACCCCGGAACUGCCUUUGAUACUGGGUGUCUAGAGUAUGGAAGAGGUGAGUGGAAUUCCGAGUGUAGAGGUGAAAUUCGUAGAUAUUCGGAGGAACACCAGUGGCGAAGGCGGCUCACUGGUCCAUUACUGACGCUGAGGUACGAAAGCAUGGGGAGCAAACAGGAUUAGAUACCCCCGUAGUCCCUGUCUCUUAUAC
rnacentral:rRNA from 1 species